AUUGAACGCUGGCGGCAGGCCUAACACAUGCAAGUCGAACGCGUGGCGGACGGGUGAGUAAUGUCUGGAAAACUGCGCGAUGGAGGGGGAUAACUACUGGAAACGGUAGCUAAUACCGCAUACCAUCGGAUGUGCCCAGAUGGGAUUAGCUAGUAGGUGGGGUAACGGCUCACCUAGGCGACGAUCCCUAGCUGGUCUGAGAGGAUGACCAGCCACACUGGAACUGAGACACGGUCCAGACUCCUACGGGAGGCAGCAGUGGGGAAUAUUGCACAAUGGGCGCAAGCCUGAUGCAGCCAUGCCGCGUGUAUGAAGAAGGCCUUCGGGUUGUAAAGCACUUUCAGCGAGGAGGCGUUACUCGCAGAAGAAGCACCGGCUAACUCCGUGCCAGCAGCCGCGGUAAUAC
rnacentral:rRNA from 1 species